GAUCAUGGCUCAGAUUGAACGCUGGCGGCAUGCCUUACACAUGCAAGUCGAACGGCAGCGGGCCUUCGGGUGCCGGCGAGUGGCGAACGGGUGAGUAAUGCAUCGGAACGUGCCAUUGAGUGGGGGAUAACGUAGCGAAAGUUACGCUAAUACCGCAUAUUCUGUGAGCAGGAAAGCAGGGGACCGCAAGGCCUUGCGCUCUUUGAGCGGCCGAUGUCAGAUUAGCUAGUUGGUGAGGUAAAGGCUUACCAAGGCGACGAUCUGUAGCGGGGUCUGAGAGGAUGAUCCGCCACACUGGAACUGAGACACGGUCCAGACUCCUACGGGAGGCAGCAGUGGGGAAUUUUGGACAAUGGGCGCAAGCCUGAUCCAGCCAUGCCGCGUGAGUGAAGAAGGCCUUCGGGUUGUAAAGCUCUUUCGGCCGGGAAGAAAUCGCAUGGGUUAAUACCCUGUGUGGAUGACGGUACCGGAAUAAGAAGCACCGGCUAACUACGUG
rnacentral:rRNA from 1 species